rnacentral:rRNA from 1 species
CCCAGUUCGGAUUGCAGUCUGCAACUCGACUGCAUGAAGCUGGAAUCGCUAGUAAUCGCGAAUCAGAAUGUCGCGGUGAAUACGUUCCCGGGUCUUGUACACACCGCCCGUCACACCAUGGGAGUUGGUAACGCCCGAAGUCAGUGACCCAACCGCAAGGAGGGAGCUGCCGAAGGCGGGAUCGGUAACUGGGGUGAAGUCGUAACAAGGUACC